CACGUAGGCGGACCAUUAAGUCAGGGGUGAAAUCCCGGGGCUCAACCCCGGAACUGCCUUUGAUACUGGUGGUCUAGAGAUCGAGAGAGGCGAGUGGAAUUCCGAGUGUAGAGGUGAAAUUCGUAGAUAUUCGGAGGAACACCAGUGGCGAAGGCGGCUCGCUGGCUCGAUACUGACGCUGAGGUGCGAAAGCGUGGGGAGCAAACA
rnacentral:rRNA from 1 species